rnacentral:misc_RNA from 1 species
ACAAACUUGGUCAUUUAGAGGAAGUAAAAGUCGUAACAAGGUUUCCGUAGGUGAACCUGCGGAAGGAUCAUUACAGAAUCAAGCGCGGAGGGGGGUCCCCACGGGGCCGCCCCCGCACUUCUUUCAUCCACCCCUCUGUGCACCCUUGACGCGAGCUGGUACGGGCGUGUCCCGGAAGGCUCUGCGGCCACAUCUACAUACGCCAGUCUCCGAAUGUACCUUGCGUUAUAACCGCAAAUGAAACAACUUUCAGCAACGGAUCUCUUGGCUCUCGCAUCGAUGAAGAACGCAGC